GAGUCGUGAGGUUCCCAGAGAGUCGCUGUUGUUUGUCAUCCCUGCUUUUGGUGGUAGCGUUUCUUGGGAUGGUGAAGGGGCUCCAUUUAAAGAGACUGACCAAAAUAUCACUCAUCAGGUUGUUGACCGGCCAACACAGGGCCACAAAUUCCUUUCCCGAGAAUAUGUCCAGCCACAGUGGAUUUAUGAUUGUGUUAAUGCACGCAUCCUUUUACCAGUUGAGGAUUAUAUCGUGGGAAGGAUUCCUCCACCACACUUGUCACCUUUUGUUGAUAAUGAGGCGGAAGGCUAUGUUCCUGAAUAUGCAGAGACCAUCAAGCGUCUACAGGCAGCUGCAAGAAAUGAAGUGCUUCCAAUGCCAGGGGUGGGCAAAGAGGAUUUGGACGACCCUCAAAAUUUACUCGUGGAAGGUGUCAUCGACCGUGCUGAAGCUAUUGAAGCUGCCACGAAAAAGCGGAAGAUGUCAGUUCUUCAGAAGCAAUAUCAUGAUGAAUUGAAAAAAGAACUUCGAAGUACCCAAAUUUCUACUGCUUCAGAUGGGAAUAAGGAGAGUGUUCCUGAGCACGUUGAUGCUGGAGAAGAUUCUCUUCCAGAUUUAAGUCAAAUUUCCAAGGAUGCAGACAGCAUGUCCAAGAUUGUCAUGCCACGUAAAAAGCAGAAGCUACUAAAAGCUAUGGAGAUUGGCAAAGAGCGUAAACAAGCUAGUGUUGAUCGUUUGAAAGAGAGGAAGAGAAAGAUUGAAGAGGGAAAGAAAUCAGGGAAAUAAGCAAAAUCAACAAGUGUCGUGAUCUGAAAUUGUUCGCUGUGCCGUUUAUCGUUUUUUCCUUUUUGGAUUAUUAGUUCUUUCUACAAUAUUGUAUAUUUUUGCCAAUUUGGCUAAAAUUUUGCUAAUCGUAGGUGUGUUAUGUUUUAUUAGUAUUGUACGUCUUUUGAGUACCAUUUCUUAGCAGCUUAAUACAUACACCUUGUUCCUGGAUAUGCAAGACAAU
rnacentral:misc_RNA from 1 species